rnacentral:rRNA from 1 species
ACAGGCUUAACACAUGCAAGUCGAGGGGCAGCAUUUCAGUUUGCUUGCAAACUGGAGAUGGCGACCGGCGCACGGGUGAGUAACACGUAUCCAACCUGCCGAUAACUCGGGGAUAGCCUUUCGAAAGAAAGAUUAAUACCCGAUGGUAUAAUUAGACCGCAUGGUCUUGUUAUUAAAGAAUUUCGGUUAUCGAUGGGGAUGCGUUCCAUUAGGCAGUUGGUGAGGUAACGGCUCACCAAGCCUUCGAUGGAUAGGGGUUCUGAGAGGAAGGUCCCCCACAUUGGAACUGAGACACGGUCCAAACUCCUACGGGAGGCAGCAGUGAGGAAUAUUGGUCAAUGGGCGCAGGCCUGAACCAGCCA